rnacentral:rRNA from 1 species
UACGUAGGGUGCAAGCGUUGUCCGGAAUUAUUGGGCGUAAAGAGGCUCGUAGGCGGUUUGUCGCGUCUGCUGUGAAAACGCGAGGCUCAACCUCGCGCCUGCAGUGGGUACGGGCAGACUAGAGUGCGGUAGGGGAGAUUGGAAUUCCUGGUGUAGCGGUGGAAUGCGCAGAUAUCAGGAGGAACACCGAUGGCGAAGGCAGAUCUCUGGGCCGUAACUGACGCUGAGGAGCGAAAGCGUGGGUAGCAAACAGG